rnacentral:tRNA from 1 species
GCCCGCUUGGCUAAGUGGUAUAGCGUGUCACUAGUAUUCCUAGGCAACUCGUCUUGCUAAUGCCAUGACAAGAUCAGCGGUUCGAUUCCGCUAGUGGGCA